rnacentral:tRNA from 2 species
CAUUAAGAAGCUAUAGGUAGCGUCAGCCUUUUAAGCUGCAGACAGGUGAUUCCGCCCACCCUUAGUGA